rnacentral:ncRNA from 2 species
UGCGAACGACAGGGGAGCGCACGUUGCGCUGAGAUCGUGCCGAGGUAGGGCACUAAACCCUCGAACCUGAACCGGUUAGCACCGGCGGAGGAAGUCGAGACUCACCCGUU